UGGACUUUCUGGGAUCUGCUUUCCUUGGAAGCUUUCGCGGACGAGGUCUCUGUGGUUCCCCGCUCCCUGCCAGCAGCUCCCCUUCCUGUGCGAUGCAUCUCAGUCACUCACCUGUUCCCGAGGUCUUUGUACUUUUCCCCAGAGGCUGUGGGCAACCCGCAGCAGGCAGAGAGCGCAGACAUCUAUCAGGGCACCCAUAAGGAGCCCGGUAUACCCCCCUUGCUCCAUGUAGUCGCAGAGGAGGCCCAGGAGGUAGGGCAAGCUGAAGGCCGCCUGCUCGGUGCGCAGGGGCUGCCGCUUUGGGCCCUCUGUUGCAGCAGCCCUGCUGACCCUUUGCCAGAUCCAGCUGGGGCAGGAGGGGAGGCCAAGCCAGCUGGGCCAGUUGGAGGUCUGGCGCUCGGUGUCAGCAAGCAGCGGCUCCUCAGGAGGGACCAGCUCUUCCUCCCUGUCCUCGUCCCAGUCACCAUUGCUGGAACGGCCAGGGCGCCUUCCAGUGAAUGGAGACAUGGACAGAAGCAGGAAGACGAGGAGGGCCUGGCUGAACUUCAUCCUGUUCUCUCUCAACGAACAAUCGCAACACACAAAGUGGCGGUCAAUCAGAGCAGAGCUCGCAGAGCUCCAGCACUAACCACCAGGAGAGAUCGACUGCCCGUCGUGUCUGCACUGGGAGGGGCUGCCAACGUGACUAUACACAGUGAUGCGUGCCCUGCUCUUGUGAUGUCACAAAACCUAUCCUGGUAAAACAUACCCCGUAUAACAUACUGUAAAAUAUACAGCAACUGUUUAAUAAUUUUCUUUAGGAAAGGUUUCAGUCUCCCGCAGUGGGCCUGGGAAAGAAC
rnacentral:lncRNA from 1 species